UUUAUUAAGCUCAACAAACAAAGUGAAACACAGAUGUGAGUGGAAAUUGGUUUGGUUAGUUUCAUGGUUGUUUCGUCCAAAAGUCACAAGGUGGCGCUGUUGAGUUGAUGAUGCGUGGAUCUACGCUGCCGGCUGAAAACACGUCAUCCAUCUUAGAGCAGAAUGCCAGGAUCCACAAUGAAAACUUGCAUAUCUUGCAAGCAACACGUCUGUCUUUGUGGGGCACAGCAGCCCAUGAAAAAAAAAAUCAUCAAGGCAAAGAACAAGGCUACGAAGGAAUGGGGAGAGGAGCUGAAGAAAGGGGGCAAUAUUGCCAAACUUUUUGAUGCUGCACGGAUUCUGACCCUGCACCUGCACCCUCUCCCUCCUCCUCACUUGGACUUCCACGACCCUCUGCUUCAUCCCAGCCCCCCAUGACCAAGCCUCUACCCCUAAGCUGUGCUCGACACGAAAGCAAACAGACCCUGUGCCUGCACCCAGUAUUGUGUCCCAGACCCCUCCUGAACCAACUCCCCUGCCCUCUGCUUCGCCCCAUCCCCCUAAGCUGUGCUCUGCACUCAAGCAAAUAGGCUGUGUCCUAGGCAUCUUCUUUAUUUGCCCCUCACCUCCCCAGGUCGUAGUAACAGACCCAAUCCAGUCAACCUAGCAGGGAAUGCUGGAGGUCAAAGUGAAGUGGGUGCCAUGCCCUCAGUGCCACCUGAGAUGGGCCGAUUGGUGGGUGACACAAGAUGACCUCACUUAGAUGUCAAAGACUUUCCUUUAAUGUGUUCUUCAUUUUGUAAUGUUCUGGUUUGUUCUUGCCAUUAAAGUUGUGCUGCUGCAGGCUCA